AGUCGAGGGGCAGCAUUUCAGUUUGCUUGCAAGCUGGAGAUGGCGACCGGCGCACGGGUGAGUAACACGUAUCCAACCUGCCGAUAACUCGGGGAUAGCCUUUCGAAAGAAAGAUUAAUACCCGAUGGUAUAAUCAGACCGCAUGGUCUUGUUAUUAAAGAAUUUCGGUUAUCGAUGGGGAUGCGUUCCAUUAGGCAGUUGGUGAGGUAACGGCUCACCAAACCUUCGAUGGAUAGGGGUUCUGAGAGGAAGGUCCCCCACAUUGGAACUGAGACACGGUCCAAACUCCUACGGGAGGCAGCAGUGAGGAAUAUUGGUCAAUGGGCGCAGGCCUGAACCAGCCAAGUAGCGUGAAGGAUGACUGCCCUAUGGGUUGUAAACUUCUUUUAUAUGGGAAUAAAGUUUUCCACGUGUGGAAUUUUGUAUGUACCAUAUGAAUAAGGAUCGGCUAACUCCGUGCCAGCAGCCGCGGUAAUACGGAGGAUCCGAGCGUUAUCCGGAUUUAUUGGGUUUAAAGGGAGCGUAGGUGGACAGUUAAGUCAGUUGUGAAAGUUUGCGGCUCAACCGUAAAAUUGCAGUUGAUACUGGCUGUCUUGAGUACAGUAGAGGUGGGCGGAAUUCGUGGUGUAACGGUGAAAUGCUUAGAUAUCACGAASAACUCCGAUUGCGAAGGCAGCUCACUGGACUGCAACUGACACUGAUGCUCGAAAGUGUGGGUAUCAAACAGGAUUAGAUACCCUGGUAGUCCACACAGUAAACGAUGAAUACUCGCUGUUUGCGAUAUACAGUAAGCGGCCAAGCGAAAGCAU
rnacentral:rRNA from 1 species